CUCCCUUUCCCACCCCAUACCCCUAGAAGAGUUCUACUGAAACUUCCACAAUAGUGAAGAGAGAGACCACAGAUGGAAGUUCCCAUAUUGGGUGGAACGCCUUUUUGUCAUACAAGUGUGUGACCUAAAGGGGGAAUGUCCUGAUAUUCACCUAGGAAUCUGAUCCACCCAUCUCAUCAACUCAGAAAUUGGAGUUAGUUAUUUUUUGAGGAAGAUGUGUUAAACCAUCCUAUGUGAUUAAGCAUUGAGAAGACUUGAGGAAAAUGAAUGGGCACAGGACUGGAGUGAACUUCCUACCAGCAUCCUGCAGGCCAUUCUACCUGCCACUAGAAAAUGUGAGCACUUCCAUCAUUUACCAUGCUGAUCAUUAGGCCAGAAUUUUUUUCAAAAAUUGUUUGAAGUAGUUUAGAGGAAUGAAACAAUGCUAGGACAGCUUUGGAACUGAUGAUUGAAGACAGAGACUGCUGAGUACAUUUUUCCCAUCCUCUGGGUUCUACUAGUUGUUCUCAGAGCUUUCUGGCCCUCUUGUUUUGGCUAAUUUUGAUUUUCAAAGACAUCAGAGGGAGAAAGUUACCUUUCUUCCAUUAUGUCGCAUUAGUACUACUAGACUAUGAUGUUUGUUGAGGUUUUCUUGAUUUCUUCCAUCCUAUAAAAGAAGCUGGGAGCCCAUAAUGAAGUUUCAGUUAUAUUGUCUCAGAAUAUCCUUGAUCACUGAGUGCAUGUCUGGUAGAUCUUAUACCCGAUGAAAUUAAUUCAGUGGGCUGUUGGCUGGUUUGGUUUGUACAACUAACAAAAGAGAGGGGAGAAAAGUGUGGAGGCCACCUAACAAUGACAGGGGCUCUGGGAAAACAACCAAAGACAAAAGCAUAUCUUCUGAAGACCAGAGGUCCAGCAAAGAACUUUGUAGCACAGCCUUCCUGAACUCCUGAGUUAGAACAGUCUCCUAGAAUAAAGCAGCAGAGUUUGAAAGAUCAGUCAGUGCAGGGGACCUCCUCUGAGCCUCACGUCCACUGUCAGAUCCUGUCGAGUGUAUGGGGUGAUUUGAGCAAAACAGGCCCAUCGGUGUGAUUCAGUGUCUCACUGCUUUGUGAUCCACCAUGAGAAGUAUGCUGUGGUGCCACAUAUUUCUCAAUCUGAUGCCUUUUUUGUCUUCGGUUUUGUUUUGCCAUUUGCAUUCCUAUUUCAUAGUGUCACGAUGAAUUUUUGUAUCACGUUUGGUCUUUGUCCACUACAAACUGUAGGAUCACAGUUAAGCCUUCCGUGAAUUCCCUGGUUUGGCAUCUUUUACCUUAGCAUUAUUUUGAGGGUUUUUCCUCCCUUAUUACAUUUCCUUAUUACAGUGCCACUACACUGUAUUCAGGUGGGGAAAUAAACACGUAGGUGCUUGAGCAUGCCCCAAGGACACGGCCGUAGCCCUGUGGUAUUUGUGGCUGUCCUUCUUGACACAGUAUAGACUUUACAGAGGGUUGUGCUCUCAGAGGACUUAAAAAAUAUGUAUAUUAAGCAAUUAACUUUCUGGAGUUAUCAAAAUUUGCUGGGAAAUUAACUUCCAAGAGCUCUGAAUUGGAUGGAAUUCCGUCUGGCUUCAGAGUACAAUGAGCCAAUAUGAAGUGGAGCUUUGAAAUGGUUUCCUUGUGCAGAAAUAUGAUCUAGGAACAAAAGUGCUGAUCUAAUGCUAAGUUUUCUGUGUACUAACUCAGUUGCCAGAAUUAUAAUGAAAACUGUAUUUUAGUCUAACAAAUGUAUAG
rnacentral:lncRNA from 1 species